AUGCUUCCUUCGACGGCUCGCCCUGCUACGGCGGCAGCCUACACGCAGCCGCAGCUGAGGCAGAUGAGGGCGCAGUGCAUCGUCUUCCUUGCCUUCAAGAACCAGAUGGAGCCCAGGAAGCGGCACCUAGAGAUCGCGCUCGGUGAGGAUGAGAUCGGCGGAGCCGGCUGCCAAGGCGAGACGACGACGAAGAGCUCGCCUUCUCAAGCCUCGCCGUCCCCUGCCGCACCGUUGCCGCUGCCACUGUCCCCUCGCUGCGGUUGUCCCCUCGCUGCACCGUUACCGUCUCCUCGCUGCGGCUGUCCCCGCCGGUGA
rnacentral:rRNA from 1 species